UGUGCCCAUGAGCAGGACAACAAAGAAACAGAGAAUUAGGAGGAAGAUCUAGAGAUAAAAGCAUCAUGGAAGCCAAAGACAUCCAUAGGAUAAAGUGGUCCCUGACGUGAGUUAGGAAGGGCAUCGAAAACAGAGAAGGCAAGAAGAAGACCAGCCGGAGGAGUCCUUCUUUCUAGGAAAAGGUUAAUACUCUGCCCUCAGGAGGUGGCCACAGGUGCAGUUCGUGUCCCGACAGCAGCACACCUGUGACUCUCCUGGAGUCUUGUGUUAACUGUUACUGAGUUCAUUUUUUAAGCAUCCCCUGCCCCUCUACCACCUGAACUAUCUCCUCCAAGGUGUCAAGUGACAGGUUUUAUUUAAGAGCACAGUGAACCCCCAUGAAUUUAAUAUUUGCUUCAAAUAAUUUCUUUAUAACGAGUGUUUGGGGGUCCCCUAUAGCACACUAGGGUGAAAUACAACUGAGAUUGGAUUCUGUGCUCUGUUAACUAAGUAUAUCAUCAGAGGGUAUCUAUGAAGGAUUCUGAUAUGAUAAAAGAAAGACUUUAAAGAUGGUUGGAAAACAAGAAAAGACAAGCAAAGAUGGCAAGCUGAGGAGACGGAUGGCUCCUGCCCUCAAGUUGCUUCAACUCUCAAUUUGAAUGAAAGUUAGAUGGAAAGAGGGAAGACACUGUAGUUCAAAUGUGCCCCUCGUAUGAUAAAAGAAAGACUUUAAAGAUGGUUGGAAAACGAAACAACAAGAAGACCCAGCAAGGGAAGGAUGCCCCGACUUGCCCCAUGUACACACAGCAGUGAAGCCACGGGAACAGGCUUCUUCUCCAGCCGUGAUCCGUGUGUUCUGGGGUCUUUGGUCUGGACUCCAAGGGUGUGCCUCCCAGGUCUUCUGGACAUGAAGAGAUGGGAACCCACGGACCUUCAAAUGGGGAUCUCCCUUGGACUUGUAAGUCCUGCAUACGGAAAUGAAGAUGUCCGUCCCUUACUCGGGUCUUGGAUCCUAAGCAUUUCGUAGCCUCAGGCAUUUGCUGGGGCCAUCUGGACCAGGAAGGGAUUGUGGUUGUGCCGUGAAUGCACACCGCAUCAGUUACCAGCUAAGAGGUCAUUCUUUGUUCCAGGAGAAGUGACAUCCAGUGACACCAUUAAUUAAAACUUCAUCUGUUUUGUGGUAAUCCACCCCACCCUGCUUGCUGUUCCUCCCCCAUCCCUGGCAUAUCAGCAAUUAGUUAAGCCAAGCUGCAAUGGCGGAAGCUGCUACUAAUUAAUUUCUCACAUCGAUGGAGACCUUUGAC